AGAUCUUCGAGUACUAAUCCUAUCACUCUUCUUCUUACCUACUUUGCUGGCCGUGCACACUUUUACCAACUGCAGCCCAGUGUUUGGCGGAAUCAGAGUUACUGGUUCGAAGGAAUUCGUGGAGCAGGGGAGAAAAAGCUUUAACUUAACCUGCUCUACAGUACUCACCAAAGGAUUCAUUCUUGCGGUAGUUAAACGAGGCUUCGCUAUGGGACCAAUCCUAAAUAUACAACCGUACAAUCUCUGUGAUUUGAUCACAUGUCCUGUUUCACCUGGCUCUUUUGUGAUUACUUUUCGCAAACUAUAUCCUGUUCCCAUAACAUGGCAUAUCGAUACUUCAAUAGUCUUAGACGCAGGCCCUGGUAAGAUCGUUAAUGGAGUGACAGUGCCCGCCGAUGGAAGUAUGUGUGCAAACAUAUCUGAUUGGUAUUUUCGAAAUAGAGGAGGACCCUGAUCACGAGGAAAUAAUGUGUUCCGUCUUCCCUCGCGUAACUUCAAGUGCCUAUGUGAUUUUUUCUUCGUCAAGUUCUUUUAUGAGAAAAUGUGUUCUCAGCAUUUUCUAUGUCGUUUUCUCUCUUUGGUGUGAUGUACUGUUUGUUA